rnacentral:rRNA from 1 species
GUAAAAGUCCUGGAAAAACUCCACACAAUGAAGUGUGGAGAAAUCCAGAAGGAUGCUAGAAUUCACCAAGUGCACACCCCUGAGGGCGGACUGGCUGCUUCCAGCAGAAAUCCAACUACGAGCUUUUUAACUGCAACAACUUUAAUAUACGCUAUUGGAGCUGGAAUUACCGCGGCUGCUGGCACCAGACUUGCCCUCCAAUUGUUACUCUGAAAGGGGUUUGGAUUCCUAUCAUUCCAAUCACUAGAAAUGAAAUUUCCAGUGUUGUUAUUUCUUGUCACUACCUCCCUGAAUCAGGAUUGGGUAAUUUGCGCGCCUGCUGCCUUCCUUAGAUGUGGUAGCCGUUUCUCAGGCUCCCUCUCCGGAAUCGAACCCUAAUUCCCCGUUACCCGUCACUGCCACGGUAGUCCAAUACAGUACCGUCGAAAGCUGAUAGGUCAGAAACUUGAAUGAUCCGUCGCAGACCGAAGUCAACGCGAUCCGUUCGGUUACUAUGAAUCACCUGAGGACCACCGGAAGGUGGGUUGGUUCUGUAUCUAAUAAACACUGCCCUUCCAGGGGAAGAGGCAUGUGCGCAUGUAUUAGCCAUAGAAUUACCACGGUUAUCCAUGUAGUAAAGACCAUCAAAUAAACUAUAACUGUUUUAAUGAGCCAUUCGCAGUUUAGCCGUAUAAAAGCUUAUACUUAGACAUGCAUGGCUUAAUCUUUAAGACAAGCAUAUGA